AGAAAACACCCUUAAAAACAGGCAUCUAGAAGAAGAGCAGGGAGCUUGCUGUCAGCUACGGCACGUGGUGCAACAAAACAGAUCUUCAUGUCUGGAGCUGCUUGGAGACCCUCAGGACAAUAUCCUGCUGAAGUGGUCUCAGAGCAGACACCAGCCAGCUCUGAAUUUGUUCUGGAAAGGGGAGUUAGCUCUGGGUGGUUGCACUGGACAUCCUGGCACAGCUUCUGAGCUCUUAUGCCCGGGGAGAAAAUGGGAUUCAAACAUCUUUUGGAACAGCAAGAUCUCCCCAAGUCUGCAGAGAGACAAAUAAGAUGCUUGUGAAUAUAAACUGCCCUAUUCACAUCCAUCAGUACCUUCACCAGACUCACAACCACAGAACUGAUUUUCUCUAAUAAAAUUUCUAAUAUUUCAUCAAUAUACCAAGAUUGGUUUUAAAUCUUGGUUUUAAAAUGGACUUUAAAAAAAAAAAAUCUUCCAUUUUUAUCUGUUCCUUAUUAAG